rnacentral:rRNA from 1 species
GUGAGGAAUUUUCCGCAAUGGGCGAAAGCCUGACGGAGCAAUGCCGCGUGAAGGAUGAAGGCCUAUGGGUUGUAAACUUCUUUUCUCAGAAAAGAAUUAUGACGGUAUCUGAGGAAUAAGCAUCGGCUAACUCUGUGCCAGCAGCCGCGGUAAGACAGAGGAUGCAAGCGUUAUCCGGAAUGAUUGGGCGUAAAGCGUCUGUAGGUUGUUUAAAAAGUAUUCUGUCAAAGAUUAGGGCUUAACCCUAGAUAGGCAGAAUAAACUUUUAAGCUAGAGUUUGGUAGAGGCAGAGGGAAUUCCCGGUGGAACGGUGAAAUGCGUAGAUAUCGGGAGGAACACCAAAGGCGAAGGCACUCUGCUGGGCCAAUACUAACACUGAGAGACGAAAGCGAGGGGAGCAAAUGGGAUUAGAUACCCCGGUAGUCC